rnacentral:lncRNA from 1 species
GCCAAUGGCGGCGGCUUGCGGAAGAGGCGAGCCAGCGAGGUGGAGCCGCGAUGGCGGCAGCAACUGUGGCGAGUCGUGGAAGGUGAGUCACAACAUGGUGAGGGCAGUCGGAGCGGCACGCGGGGUGGCACUGAGGGAAACUGGCCAGAGGCUGGUGAGCGGGCUGGGGACGGUCACCACGAGCUGGAGCAGGGGCUCGGCCGGUCGGUGUGGCGGCUGGUGCGCAGCAGCCGCUGCGGGGCGCACGACACGUGGAGGUGAUACCAUGGCGGCGCCUCGAGUAUAGGCGAAGUGAAACAUGGAAGGUGAGUCUACGUCUCAGUCUAUC